rnacentral:misc_RNA from 1 species
GGAUGAUGCACACUCAAAGGGAUGGCGUGGUCGUAGCACUGAUGAUUCUAAUGCUGAUACUAUUGCACACAAACAUGGGGUGGUUCUAAUUUUGAGUGAGAAACUCCAUUCGGUAACAUCACAAUUUGAUAAGCUAAGAGCCAUUCGGUUUCAAGAUAUCAUAAGCAAAGCAGUACCAAGAAGAAAACUGAACCAAGUAAAUAAACCACGUUCUGCCAAUGCCCCUGAGUAUAGUAAUACAGAGCUG